UACGGAGGGUGCAAGCAUUGAUCGGAAUUACUGGGCGUAAAGGGCGCGUAGGCGGCGAUGAAAGUCAGAUGUGAAAUUCCGGAGCUCAACCCCGGAGCUGCAUUUGAAACUCCAUGGCUAGAGUACAGUUAGGGAAAACGGAAUUCCACGUGUAGCGGUGAAAUGCGUAGAUAUGUGGAAGAACACCGGUGGUGAAGACGGUUUUCUGGGCUGAAACUGACGCUGAGGCGCGAAAGCUAGGGGAGCAAACAGG
rnacentral:rRNA from 1 species